AAUUCUCAACCCCGCCCCCUUUUGCGAGGGGUUUGUCGGUGGCUUGGACUUGGAGGCUUUUGCCGGGGGAUUCGUUCCUCGGCUCCUCUCGAAGGCAUUAGCAGGACCCUUGCGGCCUCGGUGUGAUAAUUGUCUACGCCAUGGGCUUAGCUCCUCUGGGACCCUGCUUACAAUCGUCUCGCAAGGGACACUUUCAUCGAA
rnacentral:misc_RNA from 1 species